rnacentral:misc_RNA from 1 species
AGGAAUUGUCGGAUCAUGAUCAUCUUCAGUUUUGAAAGACUUAGAGUAGAAUAAGUUUUUCUUUUGGCGUAGAGGAAGGGCCUAUAGCUCAGUUGGUAGAGCACACGCUUGAUAAGCGUGCGGUCAAUGGUUCAAGUCCAUUUAGGCCCACCAUACCAUAUUCCUCUUAUUCAAAAAGUUCUUUGAAAAGUAGAUAAACAAAGUCUCUAAUGACACACCAAU